rnacentral:rRNA from 1 species
UACGAAGGAUCCUAGCGUUGUCCGGAUUUACUGGGUUUAAAGGGUGCGUAGGCGGACUUUUAAGUCAGUGGUGAAAGCUUGCAGCUUAACUGUAAAAUUGCCAUUGAAACUGAGAGUCUCGAGUGUAGUUGAGGUCACUGGAAUGUAUCAUGUAGCGGUGAAAUGCUUAGAUAUGAUACAGAACACCGAUUGCGAAGGCAGGUGACUAAACUAUAACUGACGCUGAGGCACGAAAGCGUGGGGAUCAAACAGG